AUUGAACGCUGGCGGCAGGCUUAACACAUGCAAGUCGAACGAGUGGCGGACGGGUGAGUAAUGUCUGGGAAACUGCCCGAUGGAGGGGGAUAACUACUGGAAACGGUAGCUAAUACCGCAUACUAUCGGAUGUGCCCAGAUGGGAUUAGCUAGUGGGUGGGGUAAAGGCUCACCAAGGCAACGAUCCCUAGCUGGUCUGAGAGGAUGACCAGCCACACUGGAACUGAGACACGGUCCAGACUCCUACGGGAGGCAGCAGUGGGGAAUUUUGGACAAUGGGGGAAACCCUGAUGCAGCCCUGCCGCGUGUAUGAAGAAGGCCUUCGGGUUGUAAAGUACUUUCAGCGGGGAGGCGGUACCCGCAGAAGAAGCACCGGCUAACUCCGUGCCAGCAGCCGCGGUAAUAC
rnacentral:rRNA from 1 species